rnacentral:lncRNA from 1 species
GAAAAGGCGUUUCCAUCCACGAUCCGGCAAGACUGUGUAGUUUAUCCUACUUACAACCUGACGGACGGAUCGAACUUGCCUGGACCAAAAAACAACGCACUUAUCCACACUAGCCAAUAGAAUUUCAACAUAAGAAUUUAUUUUGUAAUCGCUUUUAUAUAUUUAGGCUAUACAAUAAAAUCCAUUACAAGACAGCGGUCUAUAGCUAACAACAUCCUAAACCAACUACAUUCUGGAUAGAAGAGCUGACUGAGGAAGAGUACUUUGCAGCAAGAUUGUAUGCGUGUACAUCGAAUAGAAAUCACAUUUUAAUAAAGUUUUGUGAUAGAAGUGAACACUUUCUCUUACGCACAGACAGAGAUCAUCUCUCUCGCUUCGCUGACUCAUAGCCUGCACAGAACCCAGGCUAUGGAAACCCUUAACAGUCUCCAGUAUGUACAGAAGUUUGAGGUCUCCUUCUCUCUAAAUUUGAUCUCUGACUCAGUCACCACCUCAUGUGGACACAACUUCUGCAAGGCCUGUAAUCAACAAACACUGGGAGAAAAGUGACCAAGUGUCCACUCUGUCAAGAGUGAUUCCAAAGAAGACCUAAGCUACGUGUCAACACAACACUAAAGCAAAGCCCCAGCUCCUGCACCAGUCACAGCUCCAGCUCCUGUACCAACUUUAGCACCUGUACCAGCUCCAGCUACAGCCCCUGUACCAGCCCCAGCUAGUCCCUGUACCAGCCCCAGCUACAGCCCCUGUACCAGCCCCAGCUACAGUCCCUCUACCAGCCCCAGCUACAGUCCCUGUACCAGCCCCAGCUACAGCCCCUGUACCAGCCCCAGCUACAGUCCCGCUACCAGCCCCAGCUACAGUCCCUGUACCAGCCCCAGCUACAGUCCCUGUACCAGCCCCAGCCCCUCUACCAGCCCCAGCUCCAGCCCUGUACCAGCCCCAGCUACAGUCCCUGUACCAGCCCCAGCUACAGCCCCUGUACCAGCCCCAGCUCCAGUCCCUGUACCAGCCCCAGCUACAGUCCCUGUACCAGCCCCAGCUACAGUCCCUGUACCAGCCCCAGCUACAGCUCCUGUACCAGCCCCAGCUACAGUCCCUGUACCAGCCCCAGCUACAGUCCCUGUACCAGCCCCAGCUACAGUCCCUGUACCAGCCCCAGCUACAGUCCCUGUACCAGCCCCAGCUACAGCCCCUGUACCAGCCCCAGCUACAGCCCCUGUACCAGCCCCAGCUACAGUCCCUCUACAGCCCCUGUACCAGCCCCAGCUACAGUCCCUGUACCAGCCCCAGCUACAGCCCCUGUACCAGCC